AAAAUGUCCAGCCAAAACAAAGAAAAUAGGUGUAAGCAAAUGGUCAACCACACAAGCGGAAGGACUUCGUUUGUUGUACUAAUGGAAAGAAAGAAGGACAAUAAUCUAAUUGAUUUCUACAAAGAUGUGCAUUGGUCGAAUAAAAAAGAUAGAUUUAUCACACAAACUACAGAAGACAAUUAUGUGAGUAAAUCCUUGUUUAUUCAUAAGUAGCUGGUUGAUUCAUUAUAUUUUUAACUGUUUAGUGUAUGAAAAGUUCAUUGUCUAGUGUUAGCACAUAAGUAUGGAACUUAGUGGACAAUCUUUAUGGUUGUAUUAUGUUCAUGGUUUAAGUUGUUUUGGCCACAGAAUCAGAUGGUUCAAUUGAUGAAUGCCAAAGACCCAGACGCUCUCACAGAUGACGCAAUAGCAACCAUAUUUAGGGUGGUAUUGGGACAUAGGUCAAGGUAUAAUAGAUGGCUAGGCCACUAUGUUAUGCCCGAAUCUACUAAAGUGGUUGGAGUAUCAAAUGAGAAGUAUGAACGGCUUGCUGAGGAGAAUGACGCAAAUAGGAAAAAUGUAGAGUAUUACCAAAAUCGAGUUGAAGAGAUUGAAGGUGGUUUCAGGAUGAUGAAGGAGCAUAUGCGGGAUUAUGAGCAACGUGUAAACAUGAGAAUGUCAGACGUGGAGAUGGAAUUAGAGUCUCAGAGAGAGACUCAAACUGCAGUUCCUUAGCUGACAUUUCUGCAUGCCAACAGUUACCAAUUUUGUAUUUUGACCUACACUUUUGCUGCACUUUUGAUGAAGGGGUGUUGGGGAUGCUGAUAAUAUAGUAAUACUUUUGAAAAUUGAUUAAUUAUAUUCUGAUCUUGGUGCAGAGGGUCAAGGAUGGGAGGUAAAUUGGUUU